AUGAACGCUAGCUACAGGCUUAACACAUGCAAGUCGAGGGGCAGCAUUUCAGUUUGCUUGCAAACUGGAGAUGGCGACCGGCGCACGGGUGAGUAACACGUAUCCAACCUGCCGAUAACUCGGGGAUAGCCUUUCGAAAGAAAGAUUAAUACCCGAUGGUAUAAUCAGACCGCAUGGUCUUGUUAUUAAAGAAUUUCGGUUAUCGAUGGGGAUGCGUUCCAUUAGGCAGUUGGUGAGGUAACGGCUCACCAAACCUUCGAUGGAUAGGGGUUCUGAGAGGAAGGUCCCCCACAUUGGAACUGAGACACGGUCCAAACUCCUACGGGAGGCAGCAGUGAGGAAUAUUGGUCAAUGGGCGCAGGCCUGAACCAGCCAAGUAGCGUGAAGGAUGACUGCCCUAUGGGUUGUAAACUUCUUUUAUAUGGGAAUAAAGUUUUCCACGUGUGGAAUUUUGUAUGUACCAUAUGAAUAAGGAUCGGCUAACUCCGUGCCAGCAGCCGCGGUAAUACGGAGGAUCCGAGCGUUAUCCGGAUUUAUUGGGUUUAAAGGGAGCGUAGGUGGACAGUUAAGUCAGUUGUGAAAGUUUACGGCUCAACCGUAAAAUUGCAGUUGAUACUGGCUGUCUUGAGUACAGUAGAGGUGGGCGGAAUUCGUGGUGUAGCGGUGAAAUGCUUAGAUAUCACGAAGAACUCCGAUUGCGAAGGCAGCUCACUGGACUGCAACUGACACUGAUGCUCGAAAGUGUGGGUAUCAAACAGGAUUAGAUACCCUGGUAGUCCACACAGUAAACGAUGAAUACUCGCUGUUUGCGAUAUACAGUAAGCGGCCAAGCGAAAGCAUUAAGUAUUCCACCUGGGGAGUACGCCGGCAACGGUGAAACUCAAAGGAAUUGACGGGGGCCCGCACAAGCGGAGGAACAUGUGGUUUAAUUCGAUGAUACGCGAGGAACCUUACCCGGGCUUAAAUUGCAUUUGAAUAUAUUGGAAACAGUAUAGCCGUAAGGCAAAUGUGAAGGUGCUGCAUGGUUGUCGUCAGCUCGUGCCGUGAGGUGUCGGCUUAAGUGCCAUAACGAGCGCAACCCUUAUCUUUAGUUACUAACAGGUCAUGCUGAGGACUCUAGAGAGACUGCCGUCGUAAGAUGUGAGGAAGGUGGGGAUGACGUCAAAUCAGCACGGCCCUUACGUCCGGGGCUACACACGUGUUACAAUGGGGGGUACAGAAGGCAGCUACCUGGUGACAGGAUGCUAAUCCCAAAAGCCUCUCUCAGUUCGGAUCGAAGUCUGCAACCCGACUUCGUGAAGCUGGAUUCGCUAGUAAUCGCGCAUCAGCCAUGGCGCGGUGAAUACGUUCCCGGGCCUUGUACACACCGCCCGUCAAGCCAUGAAAGCCGGGGGUACCUGAAGUACGUAACCGCAAGGAGCGUCCUAGGGUAAAACUGGUAAUUGGGGCU
rnacentral:rRNA from 1 species